GGGGCAGCUUGUCUCCUUGUGACACUCCUCUCCUCCCACAGGGUCCCCAGCCCCACCCCAGCCCCAAAGGAGGCUGUUCGAGAGGGACGUCCUCCGGAGCCAACCCCAGCCAAACGGAAGAGGCGCUCUAGCAGUUCCAGUUCCAGCUCCUCCUCUUCAUCUUCCUCCUCCUCCUCCUCCUCCUCUUCUUCCUCCUCCUCUUCCUCUUCUUCUUCUUCCUCCUCAUCUUCCUCCUCCUCGUCGUCUUCCUCCCCUUCCCCUGCUAAGCCUGGCCCUCAGGCCUUGCCCAAACCUGCAAGCCCCAAGAAGCCACCCCCUGGCGAGCGGAGCCUCCUCCCUGUCUCCCCGUCUCCACGCCAUUCUCUUCCACAUGUAGCCAGAGGGACCUUUCUAAAACGCACAUCUGGCUACUUCCCUCCACUCCACAAAUCCUUCGGGACGCCCUGUGGCCUGCAGGACAAAGCCCCACCUCUGCGGGAGUGGCGUGUGAGGCUCUUCACCAACGGGCCUUGCCCGCCCUGUGUUCUCCUCCUGCCCGCCCCCACACAUGCCCUGUGCUCCAGCCACACCCAGCGCCUUGCAGUCUAAGGAGAGCCCAUGCCUUUGGACAUGCUGUUCCUUCUGCCUGGAAUUUCCUUGUCCGCCUGGUGAACUCCUCGUUCUGCAAGACUCCGCUCAAAACAGCACCUUCGAGAAGACUGCCCUGCCCCUUCCCUGCCUUGCCCCAUGUCCCCCUCCCUUGGGUCCCCAGAGCCACGCACAUCCAGCCCUGCUUCCCACACACGGGGCCGUGCGUGCCUUUCUUCACCACUGAGCUCCUUCAAGGGCAGGGACUGUCUUUAUCUUUGCAUCCCCCGCUGCACCCUGUGCCUGCCCACUGGGCACUCGGUGGAUGGUGUGCGGGCGGAUGGGUGAGUGAGCGGACAAAGGUGGGUCUGAGGCUGGCCCUGUGUGGUGUGAGGUUUGGUGGUCAGGACCUGGGCGGGUGGUCCUGAGUGCUGGCCCGUGUGCUUGAAAGGGUGUGGUGCUAUUGGGUCCUACUGUGUUCCCCAGGUCCCGCAGCCCCCGGAAGCCAAUAGACUCCCUCAGGGACUCUCGGUCCCUCAGCUACUCGCCUGUGGAGCGUCGCCGUCCCUCGCCCCAGCCCUCACCACGGGACCAGCAGAGCAGCAGCAGUGAGCGGGGUUCCCGGAGAGGCCAGCGUGGGGACAGCCGCUCCCCCAGCCACAAGCGCAGGAGGGAGACACCUAGCCCUCGGCCCAUGAGACACCGCUCCUCCAGGUCUCCAUAAAUUGUCUUUGGGGGAUUCCACCACACCCAAUGCUCUGGAGCCACAAGGAGUGUCCCUUCUUCCCCAGCAGAGCCGUGGGAGGGUCCUUGUCUGCUCUCCUUUGAACCUUGGCAGCCCUUGGAUGGAGGGCUCCCUUUCCCUCCCCUUUUUUUUUUCUUUGUUCCUGUGAAAUGUUAAUCUCCGUGAGUUCUUCCUGGUUCAUGUGUUCUGGGGGGUUUGGGGUGGGAGGGAAUGCAGAUGGGAGUUGGGGGAGGGGAGGAUACAGUUCAGGAUACCCCAGCCUGGAGUCAGGGCCAGGGAGGCAUGGCCCCACUUGUAUCCAGAAGUUCCCAGGGGUGAUUGUGAUGGUGGUUGGGACUGGAGGUUGUAUAAGGUGUUCUUGGAAGGAAGGGGCAGGAGUUGGAAUUAGUUGGUCCCUACUGUCCCCCAUGAGGUUGUGAACCCCUCCCCCCAACUUUUCAUGUUUCUUAAAGGCAUUUUGGUUUUUUAAAAUCUGUACAGCAAGAGCAACUUUUUCUGUCAAAUAAAAAUGAGAAAU
rnacentral:lncRNA from 10 species